GGAAUAUAAAAAAGAUGGUCAAGAUUGCGAAAAGCUUUUUAAGCAUAUUUCAAAGGUAACUACAACCACUUCAAAAAGAUAUAUUAAAAGACGGAAUCUACAAGAUUUAAAACAUUCAAAACAGAAACAGCGUGAGAGUCAUACAAGACCUAAG
rnacentral:sRNA from 1 species